rnacentral:rRNA from 1 species
GCAACGAUGCAUAGCCGACCUGAGAGGGUGAUCUGCCACCCUGGGACUGAGACACGGCCCAGACUCCUACGGGAGGCAGCAGUAGGGAAUCUUCCGCAAUGGACGAAAGUCUGACGGAGCAACGCCGCGUGUAUGAAGAAGGUUUUCGGAUCGUAAAGUACUGUUGUUAGAGAAGAACAAGGAUAAGAGUAACUGCUUGUCCCUUGACGGUAUCUAACCAGAAAGCCACGGCUAACUACGUGCCAGCAGCCGCGGUAAUACGUAGGUGGCAAGCGUUGUCCGGAUUUAUUGGGCGUAAAGCGCGCGCAGGCGGUCUUUUAAGUCUGAUGUGAAAGCCCCCGGCUUAACCGGGGAGGGUCAUUGGAAACUGGAAGACUGGAGUGCAGAAGAGGAGAGUGGAAUUCCACGUGUAGCGGUGAAAUGCGCA